rnacentral:rRNA from 1 species
CCCUCGGGUGACAGGGAGACAGGUGGUGCAUGGUUGUCGUCAGCUCGUGUCGUGAGAUGUUGGGUUAAGUCCCGCAACGAGCGCAACCCCUACGUUUAGUUGCUAACGCGUGAAGGCGAGCACUCUAGACGAACUGCCGUUGACAAAACGGAGGAAGGUGGGAUGACGUCAAAUCAUCAUGCCCCUUAUGUUCUGGGCUACACACGUGCUACAAUGGCCGGUACAGACGGACGCAAAGCCGCGAGGUGGAGCAAAUCCUAAAAAGCCGGUCUCAGUUCGGAUUGCAGGCUGCAAUUCGCCUGCAUGAAGUCGGAAUCGCUAAUAAUCGCAGGUCAGCAUACUGCGGUGAAUACGUUCCCGGGCCUU